UUAGUUCAGUUCUCUUUCAGUUCGGUCAUAUACUUACUUUAGUUUUUUUAUAAUCUCUUUUGGUGUCAUUAUUUAAAUGUCUUCAAUAAUCAGACACAUCUCGUACAUCAUAGAUAUAGGCAUUCAUGAAAGUUGUGAAGAAUAUAAAUUAUGCUGAGCUGUGGUAUUCAUAAUAACGCGUGGCCUUAGAAUGUUAAUAGAAAAGAUUAAAAAAUGGCGGACACUAGGUACGAAAUCUAGAUAUAAAUUGUGCAUUAGAGAGAUCU